rnacentral:sRNA from 1 species
CCGUAUCCAUUUUUGGUUCAAG